UAUUAUACAAAGAGUCUUAUAUUGUCUGCUCUGACAAAAAUAAAGUAUUAUUUUAGGUUUAGGGGAAUUGACUGCGUGUGUCUUAUAAAUACAACUUGAUAAUACGUUUGUUUUGUAAAGAGACUUCUUUAAAGUCACGCAAAAAUAAAAUAUUUUAGUUGUAACUGGUUAAACUUAAAGCCGAUAUUUUCUAUCGAACUAGUCUAUUUUCUGUUCAGACACAAAGUUUUCUGAUGCUGAUAUUAUGUCAGUGUGUGUUUGUGUGGGGGUCGUGUGCUGUAAUCUUUGAAAGUUUAUGACCGAACCUUUAUUGGGGAGCGACAAGAGAUCUCCGGCAUCAGUUUGGAUGGAGCAGAGCUGUUAUACUCAAGGCUAUUGCGAAAUUGUCUAAGCUGGUAUUAACUAUUCCUGGUAAAUCGCUGAGAAGAGUGGAAUGAACAAAAAAGUCAGACCGUGACUAGAACCACCAGCAGCGUAACAAGGAAAUCUUGGAGCAAAGAGACGCCGAGUGGCUCGUGUUGUCCGGUUUGGAUAUCAGCGGCAAAGCGAACGUUGCGUGUACUAUUGCAAAAUAUAUAGCGGAUCUCCACGGUUAGGAUACAGAACACAACGCUUUGGACGUAUCUUUAAAAAAGAGAAAAAUCAGAGACUUUUUGGAUUUGUCUGGGACAUUUUAAACAUUUUGUGGCAAAUUGGAUUUAAAACGUUUCGGAUACUGGAUACAUGUGUUUGAUUUGUCCACAGAGCUUGUUUAAGACGUCUUCACCUCAUUUUAGGGUUUAUUUUUAAUUAAAGGCUUCUUAAAACAUGUGUGAAAAUGUGUAUAUUAUACAAUGAGUAUUAUAUUGACUGCUCUGACAAAAAUAAAUUAUUAUUUUAGAUUUUA